GUGGAUGUGGUGAAUUUCGAUACGACGGCGUUGGUGGCAAUGGUGUCAGGGAUAAGCAAUGGGGGGACUGAGAGGAUGAUGAAGACGUCGGAGGAGGAGAUGAGGCGCCGGUUUAAGGGGAACUACGAGUUUGUUAUGGCACAGGUGAUGUCAGAGCUUCACGAUCCAAUUAUUGUACAAUUUAUCGCUGUAGUAGCUGGAAAGAAAGGUAUAAUUUGUGAGAGCGUCUGUUCAGAGUUCAAGGAACUAGUUUCAAUGUGCGGAGGACCGAAUGAGAAGUGGAGAGCAGAGGAACUAGUAAAACAUCUCUUGGUUGUGCCAGACAGUCCAUCAGCACGAGUAAUGGAUCUUCCGACCACGAGAAAGAUAGCACUAAAGAAUAAGAUUGUUUUCGGGACAGGCGAUUAUUGGCAUGCACCGACUUUGACGGCAAAUAUGGGCUUCGCCAGAGCUAUCGCACAAACUGGUAUGUCAUUGUUGACCAUCGAACACAGUCCUCGUGCCCUGACUGGCGACUAACGAGUCCCGAGUGACUAUUAGUGCGAUCUUUAGCAAUACUAUGAGGGGACAAGGUAUGUAUAUUAUUGUAGUGUAUCUUCAAAUCACUAAAUU
rnacentral:misc_RNA from 1 species